rnacentral:rRNA from 1 species
GACGAACGCUGGCGGCGUGCUUAACACAUGCAAGUCGAGCGGUAAGGCUCCUUCGGGAGUACACGAGCGGCGAACGGGUGAGUAACACGUGAGCAAUCUGCCCUUCACUUUGGGAUAACUCCGGGAAACCGGUGCUAAUACCGAAUGCGACCACUUCAGGCAUCUGAUGGUGGUGGAAAGUUCCGGCGGUGAAGGAUGAGCUCGCGGCCUAUCAGCUUGUUGGUGGGGUAAUGGCCCACCAAGGCUUCGACGGGUAGCCGGCCUGAGAGGGUGACCGGCCACACUGGGACUGAGACACGGCCCAGACUCCUACGGGAGGCAGCAGUGGGGAAUAUUGGACAAUGGGCGAAAGCCUGAUCCAGCAACGCCGCGUGAGGGAUGACGGCCUUCGGGUUGUAAACCUCUUUCAGCAGGGACGAAGCGAAAGUGACGGUACCUGCAAAAGAAGCACCGGCCAACUACGUG